rnacentral:rRNA from 2 species
AGAGUUUGAUCAUGGCUCAGAUUGAACGCUGGCGGCAGGCCUAACACAUGCAAGUCGAGCGGUAGCACAGAGAGCUUGCUCUCGGGUGACGAGCGGCGGACGGGUGAGUAAUGUCUGGGAAACUGCCUGAUGGAGGGGGAUAACUACUGGAAACGGUAGCUAAUACCGCAUAAUGUCGCAAGACCAAAGUGGGGGACCUUCGGGCCUCAUGCCAUCAGAUGUGCCCAGAUGGGAUUAGCUAGUAGGUGGGGUAACGGCUCACCUAGGCGACGAUCCCUAGCUGGUCUGAGAGGAUGACCAGCCACACUGGAACUGAGACACGGUCCAGACUCCUACGGGAGGCAGCAGUGGGGAAUAUUGCACAAUGGGCGCAAGCCUGAUGCAGCCAUGCCGCGUGUGUGAAGAAGGCCUUCGGGUUGUAAAGCACUUUCAGCGGGGAGGAAGGCGAUAAGGUUAAUAACCUUGUCGAUUGACGUUACCCGCAGAAGAAGCACCGGCUAACUCCGUGCCAGCAGCCGCGGUAAUACGGAGGGUGCAAGCGUUAAUCGGAAUUACUGGGCGUAAAGCGCACGCAGGCGGUCUGUCAAGUCGGAUGUGAAAUCCCCGGGCUUAACCUGGGAACUGCAUUCGAAACUGGCAGGCUAGAGUCUUGUAGAGGGGGGUAGAAUUCCAGGUGUAGCGGUGAAAUGCGUAGAGAUCUGGAGGAAUACCGGUGGCGAAGGCGGCCCCCUGGACAAAGACUGACGCUCAGGUGCGAAAGCGUGGGGAGCAAACAGGAUUAGAUACCCUGGUAGUCCACGCCGUAAACGAUGUCGAUUUGGAGGUUGUGCCCUUGAGGCGUGGCUUCCGGAGCUAACGCGUUAAAUCGACCGCCUGGGGAGUACGGCCGCAAGGUUAAAACUCAAAUGAAUUGACGGGGGCCCGCACAAGCGGUGGAGCAUGUGGUUUAAUUCGAUGCAACGCGAAGAACCUUACCUGGUCUUGACAUCCACAGAACUUUCCAGAGAUGGAUUGGUGCCUUCGGGAACUGUGAGACAGGUGCUGCAUGGCUGUCGUCAGCUCGUGUUGUGAAAUGUUGGGUUAAGUCCCGCAACGAGCGCAACCCUUAUCCUUUGUUGCCAGCGGUCCGGCCGGGAACUCAAAGGAGACUGCCAGUGAUAAACUGGAGGAAGGUGGGGAUGACGUCAAGUCAUCAUGGCCCUUACGACCAGGGCUACACACGUGCUACAAUGGCAUAUACAAAGAGAAGCGACCUCGCGAGAGCAAGCGGACCUCAUAAAGUAUGUCGUAGUCCGGAUUGGAGUCUGCAACUCGACUCCAUGAAGUCGGAAUCGCUAGUAAUCGUAGAUCAGAAUGCUACGGUGAAUACGUUCCCGGGCCUUGUACACACCGCCCGUCACACCAUGGGAGUGGGUUGCAAAAGAAGUAGGUAGCUUAACCUUCGGGAGGGCGCUUACCACUUUGUGAUUCAUGACUGGGGUGAAGUCGUAACAAGGUAACCGUAGGGGAACCUGCGGUUG